rnacentral:antisense_RNA from 1 species
ACAGUUGAGGUACAGAGACAGCGUUCGCAGUCAGCUUGCUAGGGGACCUACACGGGCUCCUCAAGUUCCGCUGCUUCCUCCUCCAAGCUGCUAGUAUUGAAAACCCAGGAGUUUGGGGUCAUUCAUCAGGAGGAUUCUGCUCCAGUUUGCCCCCUUCUUGGUCCUAGGAUACUGGAGGGCCAGAGAAAGCAAGCUUGAAACAGAGAGGAAUGGGUCACUUUGGUGGAGGAAAUUGGG